rnacentral:miRNA from 1 species
UCACAGCCUGCUUGGAUCAGUA